rnacentral:rRNA from 1 species
GGUAGGAAGAAGAUUCUAAGGCCAACGGGAGAAGGGUUGUUAAGGAACUCGGCAAGUUGACCCCGUAACUUCGGAAUAAGGGGUGCUCAUGAAAGUGAGCCGCAGAGAAUAGGCCCAGGCAACUGUUUACCAAAAACACAGGUUUGUGCUAAAUCGAAAGAUGACGUAUACGAGCUGACGCCUGCCCGGUGCUGGAAGGUUAAGAGGAGAUGUGCAAGCAUUGAAUCGAAGCCCCAGUGAACGGCGGCCGUAACUAUAACGGUCCUAAGGUAGCGAAAUUCCUUGUCAGGUAAGUUCUGACCCGCAUGAAAGGCGUAAUGAUUUGGGCACUGUCUCAACAGCCCGCCCGGCGAAAUUGUAGUACCGGUGAAGAUGCCGGUUACCCGCGACAAGACGGAAAGACCCCAUGGAGCUUUACUGUAGCCUAAUAUUGGGUUUCGAUGUUGCAUGCACAGGAUAGAUGGGACACUGGGAAACAAUCGCUUUGGCGGUUGCGGAGUGGCCGUUGGGAUACCAUCCUUGCGAUAUUGGAAUUCUAACCUGCGGCUCUGAAUCGAGUCGGGGGACAUUGUUAGGUGGGCAGUUUGACUGGGGCGGUCGCCUCCUAAAGAGUAACGGAGGCGUUCAAAGGUUCGCUCAGCUUGAACGGAAAUCAAGCAAAAGAGUGCAAACGCAGAAGCGAGCCUAACUGCGAGACUGACGGGUCGAGCAGUAACGAAAGUUGGAGUUAGUGAUCCGGUGGUAUGUGAGUGGAAAUGCCAUCGCUCAACGGAUAAAAGUUACCCUGGGGAUAACAGGCUGAUCUCCCCCAAGAGUCCACAUCGACGGGGAGGUUUGGCACCUCGAUGUCGGCUCAUCGCAUCCUGGGGCUGUAUUCGGUCCCAAGGGUUUGGCUGUUCGCCAAUUAAAGCGGUACGCGAGCUGGGUUCAGAACGUCGUGAGACAGUUCGGUCCCUAUCUGUCGUGGGCGCAGGAUAUUUGAAAGGCGCUGUCCCUAGUACGAGAGGACCGGGAUGGACGAACCUCUGGUGCACCAGUUGUCACGCCAGUGGCACAGCUGGGCAGCUAUGUUCGGAUCGGAUAAACGCUGAAAGCAUCUAAGCGUGAAGCCGGCCUUAAGAUAAGAUAUCCCACUGAGAUAAUCAGGUAAGACCCCUUGAAGACUACAAGGUUGAUAGGCACAAUGUGUAAGUGGCGUGAGUCAUUGAGCAAGCGUGUACUAAUAGGUCGAGGGCUUGACCC